AUCUGCCUACGGGACGCAGCAGUGGGGAAUAUUGCACAAUGGGCGCAAGCCUGAUGCAGCGACGCCGCGUGCGGGAUGGAGGCCUUCGGGUUGUAAACCGCUUUUGUUCAAGGGCAAGGCACGGUCUUUGGCCGUGUUGAGGGGAUUGUUCGAAUAAGCACCGGCUAACUACGUGCCAGCAGCCGCGGUAAUACGUAGGGUGCAAGCGUUAUCCGGAUUUAUUGGGCGUAGAUGGCUCGUAGGCGGUUCGU
rnacentral:rRNA from 1 species